CAGGGUAGAUGCUCUCUAUUUCUUAGUACAACCAUGUGCCUUGUAUCAGACCUGAUCUCACAUUCAUGAAUAGUUCCAAGAAAUUCUGAUCUUUCCUGGUAUCACAGAAUAAAAGCAUAUGAGAGCUGGCAUUGAAAUCUAAUGUAUUCUGAGAAAUACUUGAUGUGGAAAAGCAGUGAGAAAGGACAUGGUAGGCUCAGCUGUAGAACCUGGAGAGUAGGUACUAACCUUGGACUACAGGACCCUGAACAUCGCUACCCAAUUAUAGAAUCAAGCACCGAAAUCUGGAGAUGAGAUGUCUGUGUGUGUCUGAGGGCAGUGGCAGUCGGUAAGAGAAAUGUAAUUCAGUUUUUAAGGUUUAUUUUUAUCACCUGAGUCAAUGUGUUUUUCAGCUUGUGCUCUUGUGAGCUACCACAACUCAACACUCAUGAACUGACACAUGCAAGAUCUCCUCUACUGGAGUCCAAUUCUAACAAUUAUUGAUCUGUUGCCCUGGAAACAAAUCUUAUCUCUGGAGAUCUCAUCCAGUCCUGGCAUUGCCAUGGUAGUGGGGCAUUUUCCAGCAGGUGUAAGGGCAUGCACGUUAUCAGCCUGGAAAUGUGAGCUGCGGACACACAAAAUGAGAAGGAAUGACGGGAAAUUUGCUCUCAAAGUCUACCUGAGUGUGCUAUUCCCAUCUUCAAUCACCACAACAGUCUGUGCAAAAGAGUCUUCUUUCUUCAGCUUUUGUGUCUCGGAACCGGUCUUGGCUAUGACUGCGUGGAUCGCUGUGUGGACUUUACCCGGAAGUUGCCACCUCGGGUGCUGAUCGAAGCUGUAUUUCUGGGAAGAUUUUAUCAAUUCUGAAAAGCGCUAAGAUUACGUUGUUCACAGAAGAACUCAAUUUUUCCCAUUUUCCCCCAUCUAAUAACAAGAAAUGACAAAAGUAAUUUGCACUAAUCCAGACGAGAAAAACAGGAAGAAGAACACAGUGAUGAAGAUUUAAUUUCUGUAAAUUACUCUUAAUAUAUGAUUUUAGAAACAUCCCACACAGACACCCUGGCUUUGAGCUUUGGGUGGAAAAAUUGAUUUGGGAGCAAGCUUGAUCCCCUAUCCACCAACAUGACAAGUACAAUAAUAAAUAGA